GAGAGAGAGAGAGAGAGAAGUGGAAACUUUUUCCAAGCGUGUAGAUUAUAUAAGGCUUGGUAGGAUCACGAACGAGCGAAGAAUGGAAUAUUGGGUGGUGAGAAGUACUGUCUCACGAGGUGCAACCCCGGCUGUGUUCGAUGGACAACUGGAGGCGGGGUAUGUGCUGCCCCAUUGGGUUGGAGAACCAGCCCUCCUGGCUGCAACAUCCCCUACCCUCCCUCUCCGCUUUCGAGGAGAGCCAUCGUGUCUCAAGGCCAAACAGCCAAUGCAUUUAACGUGCAUACGAAACCGCGCGACACGUAAACUGUAUCGGACAAAAGUUUUGGAGUUUCGAUGUUGGAUUACGUUUCAAUGAGAGGAAGCUCGAUUCAAGGCGAUUCCAGGGUAGACGAAGAUUUACGUCAAGUUUUACGUUUUUCGUUUUUCCUUCACUUCUUUAUCUGUUGCGUGUCGCAAAGGACGCUUUACGAUCAAUUUAGAAAGUUUCAGCACAAUUUUCAACGUGUCAUGGUUUCUCUGGAUAAAGGGAUCG